GCUGGGCAUGGUGGCGCAUGCCUGUAGUCCUGGCUACUCAGGAGGCUGAGGCAGGAGGAUCUCUGGAGCCUGGGAGUUGGAGGCUUCAGUGAGCUGUGACUGUGCCACUGCUCUCCAGCUUGGGUGACAGAGUGAGACCUUGUCUCUAAAGUAAUUAAAUAAAGGCUGGGUGUGGUGGUUCAUGCCUGUAAUCCUAAAACUUUGGGAGGCUGAGGUGGGCAGAUUGCCUGAGCUCAGGAAUUAGAGAUUAGCCUGGGCAACAUGGUGAAACCCCAUCUCU
ensembl:misc_RNA Metazoa_SRP Metazoan signal recognition particle RNA